CGUCCGGCCUCUAAUCGACGUCCGUUCCUCAAAUCGACGUCCGUUUCACAAAUCGACGUCCAAAUCUGACGUCACAUUCUCAAAUCGACGUCCAUAUUUGAUACUCUAAUCGACGUCCAAUAUUUUGAUACUCUAAUCUACGUCCAAUGUGACGGCACUACUUGCCAAAACUACACCCGAUUGAUUGUUGUCGUCUUAAAUCAAUGUCCAAUAUCAAUAAAUAAUAAAUUAUUG
rnacentral:lncRNA from 1 species